GAUUUCUGGUUUAAUGCACCUGGCCCGCGGCCAAUAGGCUUGUGAGUGCCAACGCGCGUUUACCAUCCUUCUAGAAAACGAUUCUGCCAUUCACUUGGUUGGGACCGCGAUCUAGAUCUUUUACUUUGAAAAAAUUAGAGUGUUUAAAGCAGGCUUUUGCUAUGAAUACAUUAGCAUGGAAUAAUAAUCUAGGACUUCGGUUCUAUUUUGUUGGUUUCUAUAACUGAAGUAAUGAUUGAUAGGGAUAGUUGGGGGUGCUAGUAUUGGCCGGCCAGAGGUGAAAUUCUUGGAUUCGGUCAAGACUAACUUAUGCGAAAGCAUU
rnacentral:rRNA from 1 species